GGCUUAAUAUAACGGUUGGCCACCGGCCAUUAGCCGAGCAUAAUGCUGACAUGGCCGUUUACUGAUUACUCUGCACGGACAUUAUGGCCGACCGUUUUGUCUCAUCAAUUUGAAUAUUUCUUCCUUUAUUGUUGCAAAUCUUUUUAACAAAAUCUGUAAUCUUUAACACAGUCAUGCAAACAAAGAUUCCGCCUGCUAGACAAUGGCA